rnacentral:lncRNA from 1 species
ACCGGCUCUAGCGAAGGAUGUCAGUCUGGGCUUGUAAAACCCAGGUGUGCCAAGCUCUCGCCGCCUCAGCACAAGAAAUCCACCUCGGCGCACCAUGUGGAAGCACUAAAAGCCCAAAAUCCUAAAA